ensembl:lncRNA
GUUUAAUCCCUCUCCGUGUCACCCAAAGUAUGCCCGGGCAGAUGCACCCUGGGGUCCUCCUGGAGCCGAGGAAUACUUGAGAGCGCUGCGCCCCUUUGCCACCUCAGAUGACCUCCGCCUGAGCUCUGUGCCCAUGGGCCUGGACCCCGCGGCUGCUCACGCUGCUGCUGCUGCCUACUAUCACCACCCGGCCUACCUGCCCCACCCUCUGUCUCUACAAAGGUAAAGCGCCUCCCUCUCCUGUCUCUACAGAGGUAAACAGCCUAUCUGCCUGAUGGUGAAAAACAUGUUAGAAAAUCAGUUUGAAGCCUCAAGGUUCAGAAAAUAUAAAGUUUGAAAUUACUUUUCUAAUCCAUUUUAUGAUAGCUGUUUGAAAAAAUAGGGAUUUCAGUGUAAGUCUAUGGAGUCAAGGCUCCCACAACGCCAAUACAUUCUAGUAACUUUGCAACAGAAAGUUGCCAAUGAAAGGGUUAAAAUAUUUUUUAAAGUAAUGUUAUUUGUAUGAUUGAGGGUAAAUGAAUCUAUUUCAUUGAUACCAUACUAACAUACCUGUUUUAUACCAUACUAAUGAUCCAGUUGACAUGCCUAAAGCUUCGGCCGUAACAUUACUGGGUUUUGUUUACUGCAGAAUGGAGGAGUCCCUGUGUCUCUCUGCCUUGCGUGCGCCAUUCUACUCCAUGCCUGGAGGGGCGCCUUCCCUUCCCUGCACCCUUCAGCCCUGCACCUGCACAUGCCUGGGAGCCGCUACUCCGCGGAGCUCAACCAUUCUGCACUCGCUGAGAGGCUGCAGAUGGAGAACGAGCUGCGCCAGCGAGAGCACGAGCGCGAACGAGAACGAGAGAAGGAGAGGGAGCGUGGAGCCAAGGGAGCGGAGAGGGAGGAGGAGGCGGACAGACAGAGGCAGCACAGGCACAGGGACAGACAGCAGCAGAUGGUCCGAGGAGCCGACAGCCACUACCUGGCCGAGCUGCAGGCUCGCAGGGCACCGCCGGAGGACAGGCCGCGGCCCGGGGACAGGCUGACCCCAAACAGACCUGAUAAAGCCAAGGAGUCUGAACAUUUAGGUUUCACUGCGCCCAAACCACUGUCACUGCAAUCCAGCCUGCACUCAUCCAGGGGCUCUGUGCCACACCCAGUACCCAGCCUGGUGCCCUCGCACAUGGGCAAGCAUCACGGCGCGCUGGCAGCUGCCAUGAUGACUCAGAGGAUGAGUGAGGAUGUGUGGCUGACACGGCACAGAGGGCAGGAGCGAGGGCAGGAGCGAGGGCAGGAGCGAGGCAGGAGCGAGGGCAGGAGCGGGCAGGAGCGAGGGCAGGAGCGAGGCAGGAGCGAGGGCAGGAGCGAGGGCAGGAGCGAGGGCAGGAGCGAGGGCAGGACCUGCGCUCUCCAGGGAAAGGAGCCGAGCCUUGGAGAGAAACUCACAGGUAGGAAGAGUCUUCUGUUCUUGGUACUCUUUACCAAAGACAGAACUGUCAUGCCCGUCUGUGAUUUCCCAUUUCAGAGCCAACUCUGUUCAUGUGAAUUCACACAGCAAGGACAGCCCUCUCUCCCUGGGCGCACCGCCUCCGCUCAUCUCUCCGAAAGGUCCGUCUAA